ensembl:lncRNA
AUGUUGUGGUUCUGCGUCCCAGAAUCUCGGGAUUUGCACCCAAAACUCCACCGCUCCAUCAGGUGUACCGAAAUCCCGGGGUUUGGUCCCCAAACUCCGCAUCUCCAUCGCGUGUCACAGAGUUCUGAGGUUUGGACCCAAAAUCCCGACAUUUGGACCCCAAAAGUUGCAGUUCUGUGCCCCAAAAUCCCAGGGUUUCGACCCAAAACUCUGCGUCUGCAUCGCAUGUCACAAAGUUCUGAGGUUCGGACCCAAAAUCCCGGUGUUUUGACCCAAAAUGUUGGGUGGUUCGGCUCCGAAAUCGCAGAGUUUGGCCCCAAAACUCUGCCGCUCCAUCGCGUGUCGCAAAGUUGUGAGGUUCAGACCCCAAAUCCCGGUGUUUUGACCCAAAAUGUUGGGUGGUUCGGUUCUGAAAUCCCGGGGUUUGGACCCAAAACUCCAGGUCUCCAUCGUGUGUCGCAAAGUUCUGAGGUUCGGACCAAAAAUCCCGGGGUUUCGGCCCAAAAUGUUGUGGUUCUGUGCCCCAAAAUCCCAUGUUUUCAACCCAAAACUCCGUGUCCUACUCUGCUGUACCAAAAUCCUGGGGUUUGGCCCCAAAAUGUUGUGGUUCUGUGCCCCAAAAUCCCGGGUUUUGGCCCCAGAACUUUACGUCCCCAUUGUGCAUACCAAAGUCUGGAAAUUUGGCCCCAAAAUGUUGUGGUUCUGUGCCCAAAAACCCGUGUUUUUACCCAAAACCCCGUGUCCUACUCCACUGUACCAAAAUCCUGGGGUUUGGCCCCAAAAUGUUGCGUCCCUCUGCCCCAAAAUCCUGUGUUUUCAACCCAAAUCUCUGUGUCCUACUCCACUGUACCAAAAUCCUGGGGUUUGGCCCCAAAAUGUUGUGGUUCUGCCCCAAAAUCCCGGGUUUUGGCCCCAGAACUUUGCGUCCCCAUCGCGCGUACCAAAAUCUGGACAUUUGGCCCCAAAAUGUUGCGUCCUUCUGCCCCCAAAAUCCCAAAGUUUGGCCCCCAAACUUCGCGUCUCUCUUGGGUGUUCCAAAAUCCCAGGGUUUGGCCCCAAAACGUCGCAUUCUAAUGGACCAAAAUCCCGAAUUUUGGACCAAAACCUCCGCCACCGCCAUCGCGUGUCCCAAAGUUCUGAGGUUUGGCCCCCAAAUGUUGAACUUCUGUGCCCCAAAAUCCCAAAGUUUGGCCCCAAAACUCCACGUCUCUCAGCCCCAGAAAUGCUGUCCCCAUCUCAGUGUACCGCCGACACCGUGAUGGCUGCCUGCAUCCACACCUGUCCGUCUGUCCCGUGUCCACCCCGUGCUCCGGGUCCGUCUGUCCCAUGUCUGUCUGUCCCGUGUCCAUCUGUCCCGUGUCCAUCCCAUGUUUUGUGUCCGUCUGUCCCGUGUCCAUCCCGUAUUCUGCGUCUGACUGUCCUGCAUCUGUCUGUCCCACGUCCGUUCCCUAUUCUGUGUCCGACUGUCCCGUGUCCGUCUGUCCCGUGUCCAUCCCAUAUUCUGCAUCUGACUGUCCUGCGUCCGUCUGUCCCGUGUCCAUCCCAUGUUCUGUGUCCGACUGUCCUGUGUCUGUCUGUCCUGUGUCCAUCCCGUAUUCUGUGUCUGACUGUCCUGCGUCUGUCUGUCCCGUGUCCAUCCGUCCCGU